GAACUGCUAUCGAUGUAUAAAAGUCCAUGUUCGAGACGUGUAUGGUGGCUCCAGUUGAACCAAAAUCUUAUAAACAGUCCGGGAUUCGCUCCAGAUCUGGAGAGCGGUCGUGGCGUCACGUUUCUUUUGUUUUCGGCGACAAGGUCGGAAAUUGCCGUGAAAGCGGGUCGACUUAUUUCUUUGGGCAUUUUCAUCUAUUUUCAUUGAGUAGAGACUGGAUAUUGAUUCAUAGUAGUUCUCACGAUAUUCGGAAGAAUAGCUUGAGGUGAAAAUAUAAUUGCGAGAUGAAGACGAUGGUGAAAAAAUCAGACAAGUUUUACCUGGCUUGAGCGCCAUGACAGUGUUUACGGGUUCGCAAUGUAAUGGAUGGGCAUAAAAAAGUUUUGUUAGAGAGAUGCAGAAUCUGUGGCUGUAGCGUCGCGAACGAUAACAGGAAACGUCCAACUAUCGAUCUGAAAGUUGAUAUUGAGAUCCCCGGUGAGAUCGCAUGGUCAAUGAACGUGUCCUUGGAUUCACCAAACACUCAUCCGAGGUUUCUUUUUGUGAAAUGUCGCUUAAUAUCCCUAAAAGAAAAGCAUGAGUUCGAGAUGAAAAGAAGAUACAACACAACUGUUGUUCCAAUCGAGUGGAAGCCUUAUACUUUUGAAGAUUGACAAGAUCUUCGAAAAACCGGAACCUACAGUUUGGCUCUAUUUUAGACAAAUACUGGACCUUCUUAUAGAAAAAUUAUUAGAUUUCCAGGAAUAUUUAAUUAAAAAUUGCUCUUUCA